UUAGCUGGAUGUGGAGCCCUCUCUACCUUCUGCUGCAUCUGUUUUUGUUGCAUAAAACACAGACAAAGAAAGAAACUUUCCCAAGAAAGGCUGCCCGAAGAAGGAAGUCCACCCUGUGAUACACAACCGUAAACAACGUCCCACGCCUUAAUUAGAAUAUAUUUGAC